rnacentral:rRNA from 1 species
CCUACGGGCGGCUGCAGUGGGGAAUAUUGCACAAUGGGCGCAAGCCUGAUGCAGCCAUGCCGCGUGUGUGAAGAAGGCCUUCGGGUUGUAAAGCACUUUCAGCGGGGAGGAAGGCGGUGAGGUUAAUAACCUCAUCGAUUGACGUUACCCGCAGAAGAAGCACCGGCUAACUCCGUGCCAGCAGCCGCGGUAAUACGGAGGGUGCAAGCGUUAAUCGGAAUUACUGGGCGUAAAGCGCACGCAGGCGGUCUGUCAAGUCGGAUGUGAAAUCCCCGGGCUCAACCUGGGAACUGCAUUCGAAACUGGCAGGCUAGAGUCUUGUAGAGGGGGGUAGAAUUCCAGGUGUAGCGGUGAAAUGCGUAGAGAUCUGGAGGAGUACCGGUGGCGAAGGCGGCCCCCUGGACAAAGACUGACGCUCAGGUGCGAAAGCGUGGGGAGCAAACAGGAUUAGAUACCCUAGUAGUC